rnacentral:rRNA from 1 species
UACAGAGGGUGCAAGCGUUAAUCGGAAUUACUGGGCGUAAAGCGUGCGUAGACGGUUAUGUAAGUCAGGUGUGAAAGCCCCGGGCUCAACCUGGGAAUGGCAUUUGAGACUGCAUAGCUAGGGUGCGGAAGAGGGAAGCGGAAUUUCCGGUGUAGCGGUGAAAUGCGUAGAUAUCGGAAGGAACAUCAGUGGCGAAGGCGGAUCUCUGGGCCAUUACUGACGCUGAGGAGCGAAAGCGUGGGGAGCGAACAGG